rnacentral:rRNA from 1 species
AACUUAAAGGAAUUGGACGGGGGCCCGCACAAGCGGUGGAGUAUGUGGUUUAAUUCGAUGCAACGCGAAGAACCUUACCUAGGUUUGACAUACCGGAAAACCUUCCCGAAAAGGAAGGGUGCCCUUCGGGGAAUUCCGAGACAGGUGCUGCAUGGCUGUCGUCAGCUCGUGCCGUGAGGUGUUGGGUUAAGUCCCGCAACGAGCGCAACCCUAUUGCCAGUUGCUACCAGGUAAUGCUGGGCACUCUGGUGAGACUGCCCCGGUUAACGGGGAGGAAGGUGGGGACGACGUCAAGUCAUCAUGGCCCUUACGCCUAGGGCUACACACGUACUACAAUGGCGCAUACAAAGGGCAGCGAUACCGCGAGGUGGAGCCAAUCCCAAAAAGUGCGUCCCAGUCCGGAUUGCAGUCUGCAACUCGACUGCAUGAAGUUGGAAUCGCUAGUAAUUCGAGAUCAGCAUGCUCGGGUGAAUGCGUUCCCGGGCCUU